UACAGAGGGGGCAAGCGUUAUUCGGAAUUAUUGGGCGUAAAGGGCGCGUAGGCGGCUUUGCAAGUGACGGGUGAAAUCCCUCGGCUUAACCGAGGAACUGCCUGUCAAACUGCAUGGCUUGAGACCGGGAGAGGUGAGUGGAAUUCCCAGUGUAGCGGUGAAAUGCGCAGAUAUCAGGAAGAACACCAAUGGCGAAAGCAGCUCUCUGGGACGGUACUGACGCUGAGACGCGAAAGCGUGGGGAGCGAACAGG
rnacentral:rRNA from 1 species